CAAGUCCCAUUAGUCCUCUAAUUCCUGAGGAUGACAACGCAGAGAGCCAGGCAUACCCACUCGGUUCCAGACCAGCCGAGGAUGCAGCUGAAGUCCUGGCAAAUGAGAAUGAAGAGGAGCCACAAGAUAUUGAAACAACAAGGCCCUCUGGUAGUCUCCUCUGUGUUAUUUGCAGGGGUUGCUACUCACAGCUUCUUCAAGUUUAUGACCACCAAAGGAGUACUUCUGCCCUGAGCAGAUUCCAAGAGGUGAAUGGCUACAGUCAUGGAACUGGAGCUAAUGCUGCACCUGUGGCUAACACACGCCCUGCAGGACAUGGAGCAGAGGAGGGAAUUGCACGUUCAGAUGCAGAGCCAGGAGUUGUUAUUAGUUGUCCAAUAUGCAUGGAUUAUUACUCAGAGGUAAGGAUGCACCUCUUGUCAUGCUUUGUGCUUUGUAGGAGGAGGAAGAAGCCAAAAGGGGAGUUGCCCAAGUCAGGUGGCUGAUGUGGGCAGCUGGCUGGAAGCACAGCCCUUGCUGGGAAACUCCACAAGUCCC